rfam:Daphnia magna strain Xinb3 scaffold03011, whole genome shotgun sequence.
GACGAGGUGACCGAGUGGUUAAGGUGAUGGACUGCUAAUCCAUUGUGCAUUGCACGCGUGGGAUCGAAUCCCAUCUUCGUAG